UACAGAGGUCCCAAGCGUUGUUCGGAUUCAUGGGGCGUAAAGGGUGUGUAGGUGGCGCCGUAAGUCGGGUGUGAAAUCUCGGGGCUUAACUCCGAAACUGCAUUCGAUACUGCGGUGCUUGAGGACUGGAGAGGAGACUGGAAUUCAUGGUGUAGCAGUGAAAUGCGUAGAGAUCAUGAGGAAGACCAGUGGCGAAGGCGGGUCUCUGGACAGUACCUGACACUGAGACACGAAGGCCAGGGGAGCAAACGGG
rnacentral:rRNA from 1 species